GCUGGUGUGAGGAGGAUGUAGCAUUCUGCACUGAGUCCCUGGCAUGGCUCUAGAACAGUCAAGUGCAGUGACAGUCUUAAGCGUAGAAAACACUCAACUUUCCAAAUCUUCUACGAGGAACCUUCAAAAUACACAGAAAUGUGUAGUGAAACCUUACCCUACUGUGUCCACCGUCAGUUUACUUUUACAACUUUUGACUCAGUUUCCCUUUCUCUCCUACUACCCUCAGGUGACUGCAGAUGUGUUAACCAGCAUGUUCGCGUAGGAGACUUUCUGGAUGGGGAAGAUUUCCAGCACCUGGAGCUUCUUAACCUGCUACCAACUAGCUGCUGAUUUUCAUAAAUUGGACGGUAAGAGGGGAAAAAAAUCCCUCAGCAACUCAGCCACCAGGAAGAUGAUGGAAAGUGCCUGUCAGUCGUUUAAAAGCGAGAAAAGGAAUACCUCAGCCGCCUCCCAAGAUGCACGAAGCCUCCAGGAAUAUCAGCCAACCUGGGCUUUCUGCAUGGAAAACAAAGCUGCCUAAAUGGAAGGGCCUCGUCCCUCAGCCCAGUGUCAUGGAUGGCAUCUCCAUGGCCUCUUCUGCCUGGAUGGAGGUCCCAGGAUCUACAUGCUGCCAGCUCCUAUCCCUUGGCCAUAUAUGGGGGCUCCCUUUGACAUCUUCAGAGGAUCCUGAGAACUUCUCCCGCAGCCUUCCUCUCCCAGUGUGUCUUAGUCUGUUCCUGCUGCUGCAACAGGAAAGCUCAGACUAGGUAAUUUAUACAAAACAGACGUUUAUUUCUCAUCAUUCUAGAGGCAGGGAAGUCCAAGAUCAAGGCAUCAGCAAAUUCACUGUCUGUUGAGGACUCAGCCUCUGCUUCUAAAAUGGUGCCUUGUUGCUGUCUCCUUGCAUGUUGAAGGCAGAAGGGUAAAAGCAGAUGAUUGUGUUGGCUGUGUCCUCACAUGG